ACCGUGUUUUGUGAAUAGCGCCAUCAAUCGUUUGUAAUCGUACAACCAAAAAACACGUGCUUGCAAACAUAAUUUGAAUCGAAAUAUGACGUUCCAUGCGAAUCUUGUGACUGCAGGAUGCGGUGAGGCGGACACGUGCCAGGAGGUGUGUCCAGCAGAGGCCAGUGUCUUGGUGAUGCUGUGCGGAGACGCAGUGUCUUAUGACGAGCAUGAAUUAUGUGACGGGCUUGUGUUGAUGAUGUGUCGGGGUGAAUUGUAAGCUGUACUAUUGAAUGCAGAAAGGUGCUUGCUGUGUCAAGUUGUCCGGAUGAGUCUUAUGAUGGUUCUGCAUCCGAGGAUAAACUGAGAUGUGGAUAUCUGCAAGGAGAGAACUGGACUCGGCAAAUGCCAGAAGGUCAUUUGUAAACCCCCCCCCCUUCCCAACUAGAUAUUGAUUGGCUGUGACGGAAGAGGCGAGAAGUUGCCGGUCAUUCGUUCUAGUCGACGCUCUGACUGAAUGAAGGAUGAUUCAGCAGCAGAAUGGACAUGUAAACAGGUCAUGGUUGAUUGAGGACGGGAUGAGAAAUCGCGGGAUGCAUCGUCGACCGCAUACGCCAAAGCGAGAGCAAGACUUGCGAGCAGAUAACGAUGGUAAACAGAGAUGGAGCAUCUAGGAUUGCACAACAGCGGACCGGUGUUUACUAAACACUCCCCGAUGAGUCUGGAUAGUGGUGUAUCGAAGAGUGGUUUGGAUAACCGGAGAGAGUCUUUAAACAGAUGCCGGUUGUAGGCUCGGCGAUAGGUUACACCGUAUCCAGGCUUCCUUUACGUCAACAGGUUUGCUGGAUGUGAGCACACAUUGAUUGCAAAAUGGUGAACGAAUAAAACCUUAGAUUGGAAAAGAUGGUAGAAAAUAGACACAAGGACAGGCUAUUAUAACCUGCAGUUCGAAGAAAGUCAAGAUUUCGGGGAACCAAAUUUUGACUAAGUGUGAGUGAAUUCGUCUCAGUCGAACAUAUUUAGUUGACUGGCUGUGUGAAUGAAGUUGGAAUCAUGUUGUACAAGACGGCUUUUAGAAGCAAACAUAACGCAAGGAUGUACUCGGUGGCCUACGGCUUCAUGCUGCCAUGGAUCUGGUCGGUCAACCGACUUCUGUCCUUAGUGAUACGGACGACAGAUGAAUCCCGAAAUGAGGAGGAGGCACCAUGCUACGAACGCUGCGUGAUUCUCCUCUUCUCGCUGCCUGUCUGCCUCGCCCUGAUCAUCGCGUUCUCCCCCUUUGCGUUGUUUGGUUUCAUCGCCAGGGUGUAUCUAGCCAGCAAGCGUGCCCCGUACAUGUACUCCUUUGCAGACACACCAAGUCGGGUCAACGUUAACGAGUGUAUAUGGGCGGAUCUCUCAUCCAAACACUUCUUCAAACUCGCCGUUAUCGAUACUUGCCUUAUGCCGGAGGGCAUGUCAAGAUUAAACAACCUCCGGAAUGUUCAGACCCGGUCGGUCAAUCUCGCACGUCGGAUCAUUAACUCGCAAGUCAGACCAAGCCCAAGGAUUUUUGUCCAAUCUCCAUCGGACAGUGAACUGAAAACCUACAGCAUACACCCACCGGCCUCCACCAACCCAAUGAGUCUGUUUAAUGUCGGAGAAAGCAAUCAACUAGACGUCAGUGACGCAGAAGUGUCCUGUGUGACGUACACAAAUAUCCUACCGGAAGAAACGUCCUUCUUUGCGCAGGGUACCGAUAAGAUCAGGGAUAAUUGUGAGAACGGGGAACCCAUUCACCAAUGCAAUGGGGACACACCUCUUACACCGGACACACCUGUCAAUGGAGACAUGUUAAGAGAUUCUAGAGAUGCCGAUCAAGACUCAAGAAAUGAUCCGCUAGAUAACUUGAACUCUGUGCCUGAUAUCGUACCCAAAGACAUCUCGGAUACCCCAACGCCAUCAGAAUCCUUGGCCUCCACUCCAAACUUAGACUGUAGCAUUCAGAUUGAGGUACCUAUAACACCUUUCCAUGAGCCAAAGCCCCACACACUCACUGGCGGUCCUCAACAUCAAAAACUCCACAGUGAAAAUAAGAUAGGAGACGUUCCUUCACCGUCGGAACACGCCGUCAACAUCAAUUUUCCCGCCGGUUUGGACUUCAUCUGUUUUCAAGAGGUCUUCGAGCGCAGAGCCGCCAAGAAACUUGUCAAGACUCUCCACCUGUGGUUCAGUCACAUCAUCUACGACGUAGGCGUGGACUCCUGGAGAAUUAACAGACAUUUCUUGAACAGUGGUCUGUUGUUUGCCAGCCGCUACCCAAUCCUGGACGCAGCGUUUGAAUGUUUCAGUCAGAGUCAGAACGAAGAUCGGGCAGUUUCCAAGGGACUUCUGAUGGUCAAGGUCCAAGUUGGCAAGACGCGAGAGGGUCAUCCCGUGGUGGGUUACAUCGCAGUCACACAACUCCAAGCUGCACAAGAAACCAAUAUCCGCUCGGGCCAGCUGGAUUGCAUUCUCAACUGGCUGAGCAGUUUCCAUAGCAACACUCACACGGAAUACCUGGAGUUGGUGGCUUUCGAUCUGCUGUGCGGCAACUUCAAUUUUGACAACAUGUCACCAGGUGAUAUGCCAGACUGGAGCCAUCCUGUAUUCCUUAUAUACCACGACCCGUGUAGACAGAGGCCGGGACUAGACCGAGCCUGGACUGUUGGCACCAUACUCAGGAAGAAGCGUCUUCAAGACGAAGAGGUUUGCACACCAGAGGGCUUACAGAGUGCUCUAGAGGAUCCUCAACAGCGAGGCAACUAUCUUGAGGAUGCUGAGGUCUUUGAGGCUGGAGGUGAGGCUGUCCGAUGGGGAGCCUCGGAUAGCAGUCACUAUGAGGGAGUCGGCAGGCGGAGGGUAGAUUAUAUCCUGUAUAGCAACCAUAGGACACAUAUGCAACAGCUCUGUGAAGAGUACAGCUUUGUCAGUCAGCUAGCCACGUUGACCGAUCACGUUCCCCUCAGCAUGACGUUUUCCACGGCCAUCGGUCCCGGGGCGAUGCAGGAAUGGCCCCAAGCUGUGACACCAGACAGUAAUGGUUCUCAUUCCUGUAAGAUCAUGUAUGAAACCACUGUCUGAUAAUUGAUGAACCUGCUGUGCAGAUCCACGCUUUUAAAGGUCCAUUAGUUCAAAUGAGUUUCUCCAUGGAAACCCUUCCGAUUAUCUCGCCAGGCAGACUGUGGAGCUCCAUUGGGGUGGAUGGCUGAAAAAAAAAUCCCAAUUUUUUUUUCAUGAAGACAGUAUCUGUCUUCAGAGUAGGUAAGUUAAAGUAAUUAGAGUUUACAUUUAAUAGCACUCUCUUGUUGAUACUAAUUCAUUUUUUCCCCAUG
rnacentral:misc_RNA from 1 species